AUACGUAGGGUGCGAGCGUUGUCCGGAAUUACUGGGCGUAAAGAGCUCGUAGGUGGUUUGUCGCGUCGUCUGUGAAAUUCCGGGGCUUAACUCCGGGCGUGCAGGCGAUACGGGCAUAACUUGAGUACUGUAGGGGAGACUGGAAUUCCUGGUGUAGCGGUGAAAUGCGCAGAUAUCAGGAGGAACACCGGUGGCGAAGGCGGGUCUCUGGGCAGUAACUGACGCUGAGGAGCGAAAGCAUGGGUAGCGAACAGGAUUAGAUACCCUGGUAGUCCAUGCCGUAAACGGUGGGCGCUAGGUGUAGGGGUCUUCCACGACUUCUGUGCCGUAGCUAACGCAUUGAGCGCCCCGCCUGGGGAGUACGGCCGCAAGGCUAAAACUCAAAGGAAUUGACGGGG
rnacentral:rRNA from 1 species